rnacentral:rRNA from 1 species
UACGUAGGCAGCGAGCGUUGUUCGGAAUUACUGGGCGUAAAGAGCGUGUAGGCGGCCAUGUAGGUCCGUUGUGAAAACUCGAGGCUCAACCUCGAGACGCCGAUGGAAACCAUGUGGCUAGAGUCCGGAAGAGGAGAGUGGAAUUCCUGGUGUAGCGGUGAAAUGCGCAGAUAUCAGGAAGAACACCCGUGGCUAAGGCGGCUCUCUAGUACGGUACUGACGCUGAGACGCGAAAGCGUGGGGAGCGAACAGG